rnacentral:lncRNA from 1 species
GAUCACUUACCCAACUUUACACCAAAACUUCACACUUUCUCACUCUAGCUUUGAAGCCAAUCUUCAAUGAUUCUCUUGAAUUCAAGUAGCUAGGAGGUGUUUAUGGAAGAUUUAAGGGUGGAUUGAUGUGUUUGGUAUGAUUUUUGGAAGCUCCGAAGGUCUCUCCAAUGGUUGAUAAUGGAGGAAAGUGAGAGAUGAGGGAGAAGAGGGGUGGUCGAAAAUGGUGAGUGAGGG